GGGCCCGGAGUUGUACAGAGAGUUUUGUAAAGCGGCCGCGCCCCCUGCCUAGCAGCGGGGUUAUGCUCUUUUAUUUCAUUUUAUAUCAUUUAAGUUUUUUUUCCGGGUUUCCCAUAAUGAUUUUUUUACCUAUUCUUUUUUUUUUCCCUCUUUUUUCCCCUUUUCUUUCUCUUUUUUUCCUCUUCUUUUUCGCUUUUUCCCCUUUUCCCAUUAUUUCCCCCCCUUCUUUUUCCUUUUUCCCCUUUCUUUUUUCCACGUUCUUUCCCUCUUUCCUUUUUUUCCCCUCUAUUUUUCCUCCUUUCUUCCUCUCCCCCCUUUUCCCCAUUUUUCCUUUUUCCCUUUUCUCAUUUUAUUUUCCUUUUAUCCUUUUAUUUCCCUUUAGUUUUUUUUCCUUUUUUCCCAUUUUCCUAUUUUUCCCUUUAUUUUUCCUUUUAUUUUUCCUUCUUUAUUUUUCUUCUUUUUCCCUUUUUCUUUUUUGUCCCUUUCCCUUUACUCCUUUUUUUUCUCCAUUUUCUUUUUUUUUCCCUUUUUCCCCUUUUCUUUUCUUUUUUUGCUUUUCCCCCUUUUUUAUUACCUUAUCCCUUUUUCCCCUUUUUUGCUUUCUUUUUCCUUUUGCCUUUUCAUUUUUCUUCCCCUUUCCCCUCUUCUUUCUCUUUCCCCCCUUUUUCUCUUCUGAUUUUCCUUUUGUCCUCUUUUAUUUCCUUUCUUCCCCUUUUUUUCCUCCUUUUGCCCCCCCCCACCCCAUUUUCUCCUUUCGCUUUUUCUCCUUUGCCCAUUUAAUUUAUUACGACAACCCCCCCCACACCCCACCAUGAGGAGCAGCCGCUCUUCCUCCCCCCUCCCACCCCCCUCCACCCCACCAGGGCCGUUCGUUACCGACGAACUCUGUAAUUAAUUAUUAAUUAACGCCGCAGACGUUAAUUGAGGCGGCGCUGUGUGUGAAUAAAGGACGGAUGGCACCGCCGCA
rnacentral:lncRNA from 1 species